GACGAACGCUGGCGGCGUGCUUAACACAUGCAAGUCGAACGGUGACCCAGGGCUUGCCCUGGUGAUCAGUGGCGAACGGUGAGUAACACGUGGGCAACCUGCCCCUGACUUCGGGAUAACUCCUCGAAAGAGGAGCUAAUACCGGAUACGACCACUUCGGACAUCCGAUGGUGGUGGAAAGUUUUUCGGUCAGGGAUGGGCCCGCGGCCUAUCAGCUAGUUGGUGGGGUAAUGGCCUACCAAGGCGACGACGGGUAGCCGGCCUGAGAGGGCGACCGGCCACACUGGGACUGAGACACGGCCCAGACUCCUACGGGAGGCAGCAGUGGGGAAUAUUGCGCAAUGGGCGAAAGCCUGACGCAGCGACGCCGCGUGAGGGAUGAAGGCCUCGGGUUGUAAACCUCUUUCAGCAGGACGAAGCGAAAGUGACGGUACCUGCAGAAGAAGCAACCGGCUAAACUACGUAGCC
rnacentral:rRNA from 1 species